ensembl:lncRNA
AUUUAGGGAGUGGAGGAGCAGCACUGGCUACCCGCUUCCAGGAUGCUUAGGUCCAAGCCCCCGCUUUACUACCUCCUGGCUGUGUGACCACGGGCACGUUACUCAGCCUCUCUGUGCUUCGGUUUCCUCCGCUUUAUUCACUUGGCUGCACUGCGGCAUGUGGGCUCUCUGACUGCGUGCACGGGCUUCUCUCUAGUUGUGGCAUUCAGGCUCCGGAGCGCACGGGCUGGGAGUUGCAAUGUCGGGGCUUGGUUGCCCCGUGGCGUGUGGGAUCUUAGUUCCCAGCCCAGGGAUCCAACCUGUGUGUCCUGCAUUGGAAGGCGUUUCCUGAACUACUGGCCCACCAGGGAAGCCCUGCUUCAACUUUAAGAUAGGGACAAUGAUGGGAUCUGUCUCCAUAGGGUUGUGGGAAACUUGCCAGGUCCCUCCUUCCCAUGAAGAGGCCCCAAGAUCUCAGCCUGAGGACUCAGAAAUGUAGCAGCCAUGUCAGACCAGCCACUGGAGAAGGGUCCUGGGAGACACGCAGCAGACGACAUCACCCCAAACCCUCAGAUCCCAGAGGCCAUGCCAAUGGUAAGGCCAGAGGCACAUGCCUCCUUACCCUGGUGUCCUGUGUACCUGACCAGGGCCUAGCAGCUCCCUGUGCCAGUCUCCAGGAGGAACUGGUGUUGUGUGUGGAUACGUGUGUGUACAUACAGAAGAUGGGGUCUGUCUCUUCUUCCCCUCACUACCCCGAUUUGUCUCUGAAUCUGAAGUCAAAUGAUCUGAUGGAAAGAGCCCCAGCCGGGGCUUAGGAGACCCAGGUGCCAGUCCUUGCUGUGUGCCUUUGGGCGCCUUUCCCUCCCUCUUUGACCUCAGUUUCUCAAAGGUGCCUUCUAAGGCUGAUGUUUCACAGUCUUUGAGUGGGCUUAUGACUCCUCGCCCUGGUCCCACAGCUGCACCCCAGCCUCCUCUCCCACUGUCUUCCUGACCCUCCCUCUCCCGACUCCAGUGUCCUUGUCAAAGGCUCCUAGACCUAGUAGUGAGGGGCUGCUGGCAUCUGGGAAGCCACGUUGACCACCAGGAGCCCGAGCUCCCAAGUCUCUUCGGGAUGAGAAGGGGGGAUCCUCUCCUGCCCCGCUGGAGGUGCUGGCCGCCGAAGCGAGGUGGGGCUCUGUCUGCCCUCCCUGAUUGCUUGUCAGCAACGGAGAAACACUUCCAGAGCCUGGAAAACCAUGAAAUGAUGAAAGGACAGCUUGUUCCAGAGAGCGGGAGUCAAAAGAACUGAACCCAGACCAAUAAGCAGGAUUCAAUAGAUAACUUGGGGGACCCAAUACAACACAAAAAUGCUGGGCCCCUGGUUCGAAAAGUAUUCAAAAUUUCAAGAAGGCAACAAUAAAGCUUUUAACCAAGCAUGGAGCCUCCUAUGUGUGGGCCCCUCUGAGCACAGGGCCCUGUGUGAUACAUGAUCACAGGCCCCAGCAGGCCACCCUGCCUGGAGCCAUCAUUUACUAAGCGCCUACCAUGGGCUAGACUCUUUAUAUGCAGUAUCUCAUUUAAUUCUCAAAUAGCUCAUUGAGGUAGGCAUGUAUAUGUCCUCCUCACAGAUGAGCAAAUUUAGGCUCAGAGAAGUUAAACCCUUUGCCCAAGGGCACAGAAGCUAAUGAGCAGUGAUCAGUCACUCAGUCGUGUCCAAUUCUUUCUGACCCUUUGGACAGCAGCCCACCAGGCUCCUCUUUUAGGCAAGAAUACUGGAGUGGGUUGCUGUUUCCUUUUCCCGAUCUUCCCGACCCAGGGAUCAAACCUGCGUCUUCUGUGUCUCCUGCGUUGUAGGCAGAUUCUUUACCUGAUGAGCCAUGAGGGAAGCCCAGUAAGUGGUAUGUGAAUACAGAUUUUUCCAAGGCUAGAGCCUGUGUUCUUCUCUUGAGUGGUGCUGCCUCUGAUGGGCGGUCUCUGGGGGCUGCUGGGAGCAUGACCUCCGAGUGAGGGCACCCUGAGGUUGUGGCUGAGACUCCCUCCCCUGGCUUGACCUGCCC